UACGUAGGGUGCAAGCGUUGUCCGGAAUUAUUGGGCGUAAAGGGCGCGCAGGCGGCUACGCACGUCCGUUGUGAAAUCGCUCGGCUCAACUGGGCGGGGUCAGCGGAUACGGCGUAGCUGGAGCAAGCUAGGGGGCAAUGGAAUUCCCGGUGUAGUGGUGGAAUGCGUAGAUAUCGGGAGGAACACCAGUGGCGAAGGCGGUUGCCUGGAGCUUUGCUGACGCUGAGGCGCGAAAGCGUGGGGAGCGAUCCGG
rnacentral:rRNA from 1 species